rnacentral:rRNA from 1 species
AGAGAGAGACAUGCGUGCAUAUCAAUAAGCGGAGGAAAAGAAACUAACAAGGAUUCCCUUAGUAACGGCGAGUGAAGCGGGAAGAGCUCAAAUUUGAAAUCUUCAAGGUUCUACCUUGACGAAUUGUAGUUUAUAGAAGUGUUUUCUGUUAGUGGAGUGGCAAAAGUUCUUUGGAAUAGGACAUCAUAGAGGGUGAGAAUCCCGUAUUUGGUCAUUCCUCCUAGCGUUGUGAUACACUUUCAACGAGUCGGAUUGUUUGGGAAUGCAGUCCAAAAUGGGUGGUAAAUUUCAUCUAAAGCUAAAUAUUGGCGAGAGACCGAUAGCGAACAAGUACCGUGAGGGAAAGAUGAAAAGAACUUUGAAAAGAGAGUUAAACAGUACGUGAAAUUGUCAAAAGGGAAGCGUUUGACACCAGUGUUGUUUUUCCGAAAAUCAAUUACGAAUGUUUUGUUUUUGAGGAGUUAUGACUUCAUCGGCUUGCUCCUUUCUUUACGGAAACUUUCUUAAUGCACUUUUCGGUUAACAAGUCAACAUCAAUUUCUUUUGUUGUAAAAGGGUAUGAGGAAGGUGGCUUUCUUUUCGGAGAAAGUGUUUAUAGCCUUGUACCUCUGCAAUCGGAGAGAUUGAGGUCUGCAGCGUAGAUCCUUCGGGGUUAGAUACAUUUGUGCUGAGUUAUAGCUUUUCAUAGACAACUUGUUGACUAUGUUUAGUCUUGUAGCUUACUCGCUUAUGCUAUUUUACCUACGCUUAGGAUGUUGAUCUGUAGUGCGUGCGC